rnacentral:rRNA from 1 species
CAGCCGCCGCGGGAAUACGAAGGGUGCAAGCGUUAAUCGGAAUUACUGGGCGUAAAGCGUGCGCAGGCGGUUUGUUAAGACAGAUGUGAAAUCCCCGGGCUCAACCUGGGAACUGCACUUGUGACUGGCAAGCUAGAGUGUGGCAGAGGGGGGUGGAAUUCCGCGUGUAGCAGUGAAAUGCGUAGAUAUGCGGAGGAACACCGAUGGCGAAGGCAGCCCCCUGGGCCAACACUGACGCUCAUGCACGAAAGCGUGGGGAGCAAACAGGAUUAGAUACCCGUGUAGUCCCUGUCUCUUAUAC